rnacentral:lncRNA from 1 species
AGACUUGUGAGUCCCUGCUGGAGUCAGAAGUUUUAGGCGAAUCCCAGGCGCGCCAAGGAAAGUGCUACAAAAGCCAUCCAUCUUGCAAGCGUUGGUGCCGAGGCGCAACGCUGAGAACGCAAAUACUAAAGGGCGCUGUUCUUUCCUCGUGGAGCUCACAGUCCGCUGGGGAGACCGUGAGAUGACAGCAGAGAAACUAGCGCGAUCAGUAGUACUCAGCGCAAGGACAGCGAGCAGAGAAGGCAAACCUAGUGCUUGCUAAGGAAGACUUCACAGAGGAGUCACACCUUAAAAAAAAAAGGAGGGGUUAUUCCUGCUUUUGCCGUGCUGUGAUCCAGGGCAGAGCUCCAGGCUUCAUACGGUAAAACUCUCUGGGAAGGAAAGGAACUCAGAGUCCCAUGCAGAAAAUUGUUCAGCUGGAGGGGUAUCAGAAAGAUGGAUUUCCAAAGCCAACUGUUUCCUGUAGUGUGUGGAUCUCUGCAAGCAGAGCCUCAUCUUUCAAUUUCAGCUACAUGAAAGAGGAAGAAAGGGAAAGAUAUAUGUCAUACGUGAUAUACUUUAUGUGGCUUUGAAGACCCCUCUUUUGUGGGGCUACGGCUAAAGAACAUAGUUCCCUGGGAUGGAAUUGGCUCUUCCUAUUUCCCUACUUCAUGAAAACUCCAGUAGAAGACCUUAGAACCUUGUCCUGGUUACAUGGAUAUGUUUACUUUGUGAAAAUUCAUCAAGCACUAUGCACGGUCAUGAUUUGUACAUUUUUUUGUAAGAUAACUUCAUUAAAAUUUACUUUUUUUAUUUUU